GACGAACGCUGGCGGCGUGCUUAACACAUGCAAGUCGGACGGUUGGCACUGGAAGGUUCGCUGGAAGGUGCUGAUAGUGGCGGACGGGUGAGUAAAGCGUGAGGACAUGUCUGCAGGAGGGGGAUAACGGUUGGAAACGGUCGCUAAGACCCCGAAAGCCGGGAGGUGAAAGUGGCGACAGCCGGCCUGUGGAGUGACCCGCGUCCUAGCAGCUAGUUGGCGGGGUGAAGGCCCACCAAGGAGAUGACGGGUAGCCGGCCUGAGAGGGUGGCCAGCCACACUGGAACUUAGAUACGGUCCAGACUCCGACGGGAGGCAGCAGUGGGGAAUAUUGGGCAAUGGGCGGAAGCCUGACCAAGCGACGCCGCGUGGGGGAAGAAGUCUUUCGGGAUGUAAACCCUUGUUGUACGGGACGAAGGAAGUUACGGUACCGUACGAAGAAACCCCGGCAAACUACGUGCCAGCCGCCGCCGUAAUAC
rnacentral:rRNA from 1 species